AUGACUUAAAAAUAUUUUCCGACAUUUUCAUAAUCUAUUAUUAUUUACACUACCAACGGAGUGUUGGAGAUCCAUUCACCUUCUCUUCUCCAAUCAGAGGAAUUUUUAGUGUAUAGCUGGCUGGUUGUGGCUGUGAAUGUUCGUGUAAGAUCACGUCAUUGAUUAAUAAAAGUAUCUUGUAGCUCGUAGACUUGUGAAAAUGGCGAGUGACGCAUUGUGUGUUUUUACAACAUCUUAAACAUCUAGUGUCUUUAUUUGUAUUAUCACAACAACAAUUAAAUCUCUCAUAAUAAUCCUUAAAUAGAGUUCCAGCUGAACGUAAUAACUCACACUCGCUGUGAAUCAUCAGAACCAAUGUUCUUGACAGGAGUGAAAAUAAAUAUAAAUAUCUCGAGUUUGAAUAAAUAAAUAAUCGAUUGGUCAUUUAAAAAUCAUCAUCUUUAAUUAAAGUCUGCGUCUGGCAAUCAGUGUACGUGUAUUGAGUUUUUUUAUAUUUACUUAAAUAUAUAAAAAAGACUCCUGUGAAGAUUUAUUUUGUUCGGCCAUAUAAUGCAGUGACGCGAUAAUGAAAGUUUUCUUCGUGUGUGAUCUCGAGAUAAAAAAAAAGAUAAAUCCCGAGACGAAGAAGAGGAGCACAAGUAAUAGUGAUAGGAGUAGUCAUAGUUAAAGUAAUAGCACUAGCCGUACUGAUAAUCAUAAUAAUAAUAGUUAUAAUAAUCACAAUAAUUGAGGAAGCGUUAGUGGUAGUGUUAGUGUUAGUGAAUAUAUUUAAUUUAACAGAUAGCGUAUUUAAAAUCUCGACCUGUCAGAACAUGCUCAGACAGGCUGAUUCAACCGCAGUUGCUAUCAGGGAAUCAAGGACUUGAUUAUUUACUUUAUUUACACCGCUAAUAUCAACAUCACCAGCACCAGCAUUGCUGUCGUUAUCAACAACAAUAUUAUCAUCGACGACUCCUUUUAUUAUUUGUUUUUAUACUCAUGACUGCAGUUUUGCAUAAUCAUAAUCACAGUACAGUUUAUACCACCAUUGGAUAGCUGAAAAAACAGAUAAAAAUAAUAAUAAGAUUGACAAGCAUUGGGGACAAGCUAUCGAGAGUAUCAAAUAAAAUGUUUGCUGGGAUUUAAUUUUUAAAUCAUACUGCUUACAGCUGUUCCAAUUCAUCAACAAUAUUCAAGUUUACAUUUAAAUAUAUUUAAAA